rnacentral:rRNA from 1 species
AUGGCAUCAACAGGGCACACAAGUGAUAUUAUUUGUCGUCGUUGUAAGGGAGGAGGUCAUUAUGCGAGAGAAUGCAAAUCUCCGCGUGUGAUGAUUGCUACCGCGGAUGGUGGAUAUGAGUCUGCUAGUGACUAUGAUGAGGAGACUUUGGCUCUUAUUACACGUGAAGAACAUGGUGGAGAUGAUUCUGAUCAUGAGACGCAAUACAUGGCUCCUGAAGACGCUGACAGGUAUGAAUGUUUAGUUGCUCAACGUGUUUUGAGUGUGCAGAUCACACAAGCUGAGCAAAAUCAGAGGCACAAUUUGUUCCAUACCAAGGGAGUUGUGAAGGAACGUUCUGUGCGCGUCAUCAUAGACGAAGGGAGCUGCAACAACUUGGCUAGCAUGGAGAUGGUGGAGAAGCUUUCUCUCACCACAAGACCACAUCCACAUCCUUACUACAUCCAAUGGUUCAACAACAGCGGCAAGGUUAAGGUAACACGUACUGUUCGUGUGCAUUUUAGUAUCUCUACAUAUGCUGAUUAUGUUGAUUGUGAUGUGGUACCUAUGCAAGCAUGUUCCUUAUUACUUGGUAGACCAUGGCAAUUUGAUAAAAAUUCUGUACACCAUGGUAGAAACAAUCACUAUACUCUUGUUCAUAAGGAUAAAAAUAUUACUUUGCUUCCUAUGACUCCUGAUUCCAUUUUGAAAGAUGAUAUUAAUAGAGCUAAUAAAGCAAAACAGGAGACGAAUAAGGGUGAAAAUCAGAUUGUGGCAAAAUAA